rnacentral:rRNA from 1 species
GAUGAACGCUGGCGGCGUGCUUAACACAUGCAAGUCGAACGGAAAGGCCCAAGCUUGCUUGGGUGCUCGAGUGGCGAACGGGUGAGUAACACGUGGGUGUUCUGCCCUGCACUUCGGGAUAAGCCUGGGCAACUGGUUCUAAUACCGGAUAGGACCACGUUUUGGAUGGUGUGGUGGAGAGCUUUUCGGUGUGGGUUGAGCUCGCGGCCUAUCAGCUUGUUGGUGGGGUAAUGGCCUACCAAGGCGUCGACGGGUAGCCGGCCUGAGAGGGUGUACGGCCACAUUGGGACUGAGAGACGGACCAGACUCCUACAGGAGGCAGCAGUGGGGAAUAUUGCACAAUGGGCGCAAGCCUGAUGCAGCGACGCCGCGUGGGGGAUGACGGCCUUCGGGUUGUAAACUCCUUGCGCUAGGGACGAAGCGCAAGUGACGGUACCUGGAGAAGAAGCACCGGCUAACUACGUG